UUUCCGUAGGUGAACCUGCGGAAGGAUCAUUAAUGUGUUUGGGCCUCACGGCUCUUCAUUCCGACGCUGUGCGCCUUCGGGCUGCACGCUGAGGGAGCAUAUAUCCACCCCUGUGCACACACACGGUGGCGAGCUGGGUAACGGCUCGCCGCUGAUCUUUACACACGUCUAAAAGUCAUUGUAUGUUUAUUUGAGAUAAAACCACAACUUUCAGCAACGGAUCUCUUGGCUCUC
rnacentral:misc_RNA from 1 species